rnacentral:rRNA from 1 species
AUUGAACGCUGGCGGCAUGCCUUACACAUGCAAGUCGAACGGCAGCACGGACUUCGGUCUGGUGGCGAGUGGCGAACGGGUGAGUAAUGUAUCGGGAACGUACCUUUCAGUGGGGGAUAACGUAGCGAAAGUUACGCUAAUACCGGCAUAUUCUGUGAGCAGGAAAGCAGGGGAUCGCAAGGACCUUGCGCUGAUUGAGCGGCCGAUAUCAGAUUAGCUAGUUGGUGGGGUAAAGGCCGUACCAAGGCGACGAUCUGUAGCGGGUCUGAGAGGAUGAUCCGCCACACUGGAACUGAGACACGGUCCAGACUCCUACGGGAGGCAGCAGUGGGGAAUUUUGGACGAAUGGGGGCAACCCUGAGUCCAGCCAUGCCGCGUGAGUGAAGAAGGCC